CCUACGGGUGGCAGCAGUGGGGAAUAUUGCACAAUGGGGGAAACCCUGAUGCAGCGACGCCGCGUGAGUGAAGAAGUAUUUCGGUACGUAAAGCUCUAUCAGCAGGGAAGAAAAUGACGGUACCUGACUAAGAAGCCCCGGCUAACUACGUGCCAGCAGCCGCGGUAAUACGUAGGGGGCAAGCGUUAUCCGGAGUUACUGGGUGUAAAGGGAGCGUAGACGGCAGCGCAAGUCUGGAGUGAAAUCCCAUGGCUUAACCAUGGAACUGCUUUGGAAACUGUGCAGCUAGAGUGCAGGAGAGGUAAGCGGAAUUACUAGUGUAGCGGUGAAAUGCGUAGAUAUUAGGAGGAACACCAGUGGCGAAGGCGGCUUACUGGACUGUAACUGACGUUGAGGCUCGAAAGCGUGGGGAGCAAACAGGAUUAGAUACCCGGGUAGUC
rnacentral:rRNA from 1 species